GUGAAUCAUCAAAUUUUUGAACGCAAAUUGCACUUUCUGGUAUUCCGGAGAGUAUGCCUGUUUGAGGGUCAUUUAAAUAAAAAUCGGUGUUUUGGCUUCCUUUCGUGGUUACGCGUCGGAAUUGGGUCGUCUUACCUUCGUUUAAGUUACUUAAAAUGUUUGCAUGAUUUUCGAACGUAUGUAAAUCGCUUACGUACGUUUGAGAUAUCGUAUGCUUGUUAGGUUGGGUCAUUCCCAUGAUUUGCGCCUAUAAUUUUUUCAUUAAUUGACCUCAAUUCAGUUAAG
rnacentral:misc_RNA from 1 species